rfam:Gossypium raimondii Chr13_contig_1350, whole genome shotgun sequence.
AAUAGAAGAAUGUCAAAUCAGAAUUUUCUUCCUGAUUUCAGUUUUUCCUACUAAAAAAUUCAAAUUCAACAAAAAAAUGCUAGAAAUCAGGAGGAAAAAUCUGAUUUGUCAUUCUCCUAUU